GAAACGGAGACAACAAAAGUUCCAUACCUCUUUGACCUUCAUCAUAUGUUAGUGAAGGAUGCAACAAUGCAUUAAAACAGAAUUUUCAUUUUUUAAAAAAUUUCUCGAAAUCUAUGAGUUAACAACCCCUACGAAAAUAUUGAAUUUUUAGGUAAAUGAUAUAUAUACUUAAGUCUAUGAUCUUUUGUGUUGUUUUAAAAUUUCUAAACACAUUCUACAUUAGUAUUAAUGUACAUUAAACUCUUUCUCAUGAUACGUAGACAUCAUUUUAAUUUUUUUCAUAUUAAUUUAGUAAAACUUCAUAAUGCACCCUAAAUUGAUGGACUAACCACUAUAAAAUCCCUAUUUUCUAAUGAAACGGAGACAACAAAAGUUUCAAACCUCUUUGACCUUCAUCAUAUGUUAGUGAAGGAUGCAACAAUGCAUAAAAAAUAGAAUUUUCAUUUUUUUAAAAAAAAUUCGAAAUCUAUGAGUACCCCUACGAAAAUAUUGAAUUUUUAGGUAAAUGAUAUAUAUACUUAAGUCUAUGAUCUUUAGUGUUGUUUUAAAAUUUCUAAACACAUUCUACAUAUGUAUUAAUGUAUAUUAAUCUCUUUCUCAUGGUACGUGGGCAUCAUUUUAAUUUUUUGCCAAUUAAUUUAGUAAAACUUCAUAAUUCUCCCAAAAUUGGUGGACUAACCACUAUAAAAUCGCUAUUUUCUAAAGAAACCGAGACAACAAAAAUUCCAAACCUCUUUGACCUUCAUCAUAUGUUAGUAAAGGAUGAAACGAUGCAUUA